rnacentral:tRNA from 1 species
GUGGUGGUGGUUCAAUGGUAGAAUCCUUACCUUUCAUGCAGGAGGCCUGGGUUCCAUUCCUGGCCCAUG